UACGUAGGGUGCAAGCGUUGUCCGGAAUUAUUGGGCGUAAAGAGCGUGUAGGCGGCCCGAUUAGUCCGCUGUGAAAGUCCAGGGCUCAACCCUGGAAUGCCGGUGGAUACUGUCGGGCUAGAGUCCGGAAGGGGCGAGUGGAAUUCCUGGUGUAGCGGUGAAAUGCGCAGAUAUUAGGAGGAACACCGGUGGCGAAGGCGCCGCUCUGGGCCGAAACUGACGCUGAGGAGCGAAAGCAUGGGUAGCAAACAGG
rnacentral:rRNA from 1 species